GGAGAGGAUGAUGGCCCGGUGGUAUUCUCGGACUUCAAAUCCGAUGGGAGACAGUAAACCUGUCUCUGGUAGGUUCGACUCCUACCCUCUCC
rnacentral:tRNA from 1 species